rnacentral:rRNA from 1 species
GUUAGGAAUAUUGGACAAUGGGCGCAAGCCUGAUCCAGCCAUGCCGCGUGAGUGAUGAAGGCCUUCGGGUUGUAAAGCUCUUUAGCCGAUGAUUAUAAUGACUGUAGUCGGAAAAUAAGCCCCGGCUAACUUCGUGCCAGCAGCCGCGGUAAUACGAAGGGGGCGAGCGUUAUUCGGAAUCACUGGGCGUAAAGCGUGCGUAGGCGGUUUUGUAAGUUAGGAGUGAAAGCCCAGGGCUCAACCUUGGAAUUGCUCUUAAAACUGCAAGGCUCGAAUCUCGGAGAGGAUAGCGGAAUUUCCAGUGUAGCAGUGAAAUGCGUAGAUAUUGGAAGGAACACCAGUGGCGUAAGCGGCUAUCUGGACGAGUAUUGACGCUGAGGCACGAAAGCGUGGGGAUCAAACAGGAUUAGAUACCUGUGUAGUCC